rnacentral:rRNA from 1 species
CUGCUAUCGGGGUUCGAUUAAGCCAUGCGAGUCGAGAGGUGAAAGACCUCGGCAUACUGCUCAGUAACACGUGGACAAUCUACCCUAAGGUGGGGGAUAACCCCGGGAAACUGGGGAUAAUACCCCAUAGGUUACAGAUGCUGGAAUGCACUGUAGCUCAAAGGUCCGCCGCCUUAGGAUGAGUCUGCGGCCGAUUAGGUUGUUGUUGGGGUAACGGCCCAACAAGCCUUUGAUCGGUACGGGUUGUGAGAGCAAGAGCCCGGAGAUGGAUUCUGAGACACGAAUCCAGGCCCUACGGGGCGCAGCAGGCGCGAAAACUUUACAAUGCGGGAAACCGUGAUAAGGGAACCCCGAGUGCCCGUAAAUUCGGGCUGUCCACCAGUGCAAAUAACUGGUGAAGAAAGGGCCGGGCAAGACCGGUGCCAGCCGCCGCGGUAAUACCGGCGGCUCGAGUGGUGGCCACUAUUACUGGGCUUAAAGCGUCCGUAGCUGGACUGUUAAGUCUCCUGGGAAAUCCA